rnacentral:rRNA from 1 species
UACGGAGGGUGCGAGCGUUGUCCGGAAUCACUGGGCGUAAAGGGCGCGUAGGCGGCGCGGGCAGUCAACGGUGAAAGCUUGGGGCUCGACCCCGAGUCGGCCGUCGAUACUCCCGGGCUGGAGCACUGUAGAGGCAGGUGGAAUUCCGGGUGUAGCGGUGGAAUGCGUAGAGAUCCGGAAGAACACCGGUGGCGAAGGCGGCCUGCUGGGCAGUAGCUGACGCUGAGGCGCGACAGCGUGGGGAGCAAACAGG